CGCUGCUACCGAUGUUACGUUCAUCAUCCGGGCACAUGGGUACAAGUUAACACAUUUUCCCCGAGUACAAAUCAAUGAAGCGGUAGAAGAUUGAAAGUCGAAUAUGAAUAGUUCAUCGCUGGUAUCGGAAAAACCUCCUCCAUCGCUAAGUAGUUCAGCAAGGCGAGAAUGGUAUCGCGAAAAGAAAAGGGCUAUUAAUAGGUCAAGAGUUCAGAAACAUAGAAACAAAUUAAAUGAAAGAAAACGUGAACGCGAUAGGUUUCUCGCAAAGGAACGUAUGAAACGCUACAGACAGAGAAAGAGAGAAAUAAAUGCAGACACAAACAUUUCUAGCGAAUCUCUAACAAAUCAAAUUCCAUUU